AACGAACGCUGGCGGCAGGCUUAACACAUGCAAGUCGAACGCCCCGCAAGGGGAGUGGCAGACGGGUGAGUAACACGUGGGAACAUACCCUUCGGUACGGAACAACUUGGGGAAACUCAAGCUAAUACCGUAUACGUCCUGGCGGAGAAAGAUUUAUCGCCGAAGGAUUGGCCCGCGUUCGAUUAGCUAGUUGGUGAGGUAACGGCUCACCAAGGCGACGAUCGAUAGCUGGUCUGAGAGGANGGCCAGCCACAUUGGGACUGAGACACGGCCCAAACUCCUACGGGAGGCAGCAGUGGGGAAUAUUGGACAAUGGGCGCAAGCCUGAUCCAGCCAUGCCGCGUGAGUGAUGAAGGCC
rnacentral:rRNA from 1 species